UACGGAGGGUGCAAGCGUUGCUCGGAAUCACUGGGCGUAAAGCGACCGCAGGCGGUCUGACAAGUCGGAUGUGAAAGCCCUGGGCUCAACUCAGGAAUUGCAUUCGAAACUGGCAGACUCGAGUACGGGAGAGGGGGGUGGAAUUCCUGGUGUAGGGGUGAAAUUCGUAGAUAUCGGGAGGAACACCGGUGGCGAAGGCGGCGACCUGGGUCGACACUGACGCUGAGGCGCGAAAGCGUGGGGAGCAAACAGG
rnacentral:rRNA from 1 species